rnacentral:rRNA from 1 species
UUUGAUCCUGGCUCAGGACGAACGCUHGCGGCGUGCUUAACACAUGCAAGUCGAGCGGUAAGGCUCUUCGGGAGUACACGAGCGGCGAACGGGUGAGUAACACGUGAGCAAUCUGCCCUUCACUUUGGGAUAACUUCCGGAAACGGAAGCUAAUACCGAAUACGACCACUUCACGCAUGUGAUGGUGGUGGAAAGUUCCGGCGGUGAAGGAUGAGCUCGCGGCCUAUCAGCUUGUUGGUGAGGUAAUGGCUCACCAAGGCUUCGACGGGUAGCCGGCCUGAGAGGGUGACCGGCCACACUGGGACUGAGACACGGCCCAGACUCCUACGGGAGGCAGCAGUGGGGAAUAUUGGACAAUGGGCGAAAGCCUGAUCCAGCAACGCCGCGUGAGGGAUGACUGCCUUCGGGUUGUAAACCUCUUUCAGCGGGGACGAAGCGAAAGUGACGGUACCCGCAGAAGAAGCACCGGCCAACUACGUGCCAGCAGCCGCGGUAAUACGUAGGGUGCGAGCGUUGUCCGGAAUUAUUGGGCGUAAAGGGCUCGUAGGCGGUUUGUCACGUCGGGAGUGAAAACUCAGGGCUCAACCCUGAGCCUGCUUCCGAUACGGGCAGACUAGAGGUAUGCAGGGGAGAACGGAAUUCCUGGUGUAGCGGUGAAAUGCGCAGAUAUCAGGAGGAACACCGGUGGCGAANGCGGUUCUCUGGGCAUUAC